CCCAUCCCCGAAGACUCUGCGUGCCGGGAUGAUGACGUCACGGAUGACAUCACCGCCGAGGCCCCCAGAAGGGACACCCCAGGCCCCCCCCAGGCGCAGACGCCCUCCCCCGGCUGCCCCCUCGUGUUCUUGGCCCUCGUCUGCCUCCUCCUGGCCCUGCUGCUGCUCGCAGGGGUCUUUGCGGCCGCGCAUUACGUCCGGGUCUUCCUCAUCAGCUCCGCGCCCGUCGGCGAAUCCUUCCCAUGAGCGGGACGAGAAGGGGGGAGGGGUUCCCCCCCCCCCC